rnacentral:rRNA from 1 species
UUAGGGGGUUUCCGCCCCUUAGUGCUGCAGCUAACGCAUUAAGCACUCCGCCUGGGGAGUACGACCGCAAGGUUGAAACUCAAAGGAAUUGACGGGGGCCCGCACAAGCGGUGGAGCAUGUGGUUUAAUUCGAAGCAACGCGAAGAACCUUACCAGGUCUUGACAUCCUUUGACCACUCUGGAGACAGAGCUUUCCCUUCGGGGACAAAGUGACAGGUGGUGCAUGGUUGUCGUCAGCUCGUGUCGUGAGAUGUUGGGUUAAGUCCCGCAACGAGCGCAACCCUUGAUUUUAGUUGCCAGCAUUUAGUUGGGCACUCUAAAGUGACUGCCGGUGCAAGCCGGAGGAAGGUGGGGAUGACGUCAAAUCAUCAUGCCCCUUAUGACCUGGGCUACACACGUGCUACAAUGGAUAGUACAAAGGGUCGCGAAGCCGCGAGGUGGAGCUAAUCCCAUAAAACUAUUCUCAGUUCGGAUUGUAGGCUGCAACUCGCCUACAUGAAGCCGGAA